rnacentral:rRNA from 1 species
CAGUAGCCGCGGUAAUACGUAGGUGGCAAGCGUUGUCCGGAAUUAUUGGGCGUAAAGGGCUCGCAGGCGGUUUCUUAAGUCUGAUGUGAAAGCCCCCGGCUCAACCGGGGAGGGUCAUUGGAAACUGGGAAACUUGAGUGCAGAAGAGGAGAGUGGAAUCCCACGUGUAGCGGUGAAAUGCGUAGAGAUGUGGAGGAGCACCAGUGGCGAAGGCGACUCUCUGGUCUGUAACUGACGCUGAGGAGCGAAAGCGUGGGGAGCGAACAGGAUUAGAUACCCCGGUAGUCCCUGUCUCUUAUAC